rnacentral:rRNA from 1 species
GAACGCUGGCGGCAUGCCUAACACAUGCAAGUCGAACGAAGCCUUCGGGCUUAGUGGCGCACGGGUGCGUAACGCGUGGGAACCUGCCUUUAGGUUCGGAAUAACUCAGAGAAAUUUGAGCUAAUACCGGAUAAUGUCUUCGGACCAAAGAUUUAUCGCCUUUAGAUGGGCCCGCGUUAGAUUAGAUAGUUGGUGGGGUAAUGGCCUACCAAGUCGACGAUCUAUAGCUGGUCUGAGAGGAUGAUCAGCCACACUGGGACUGAGACACGGCCCAGACUCCUACGGGAGGCAGCAGUGGGGAAUAUUGGACAAUGGGCGAAAGCCUGAUCCAGCAAUGCCGCGUGAGUGAUGAAGGCCUUAGGGUUGUAAAGCUCUUUUACCAGGGAUGAUAAUGACAGUACCUGGAGAAUAAGCUCCGGCUAACUCCGUGCCAGCAGCCGCGGUAAUACGGAGGGAGCUAGCGUUGUUCGGAAUUACUGGGCGUAAAGCGCGCGUAGGCGGCUUUUUAAGUCAGGGGUGAAAUCCCGGGGCUCAACCCCGGAACUGCCCUUGAAACUGGAUGGCUAGAAUACUGGAGAGGUGAGUGGAAUUCCGAGUGUAGAGGUGAAAUUCGUAGAUAUUCGGAAGGAACACCAGUGGCGAAAGGCGAACUCACUGGACA